UUUCCGUAGGUGAACCUGCGGAAGGAUCAUUACUGAGUGAGGGCCCUCCGGGUCCAACCUCCCACCCGUGUUUAUUCGUACCUUGUUGCUUCGGCAGGCCCGCCUCACGGCCGCCGGGGGGCUUCUGCCCCCGGGCCCGCGCCUGCCGGAGACAAUUCUGAACGCUGUCUGAAGAAUGCAGUCUGAGCGAUUAGCAAAAUUAGUUAAAACUUUCAACAACGGAUCUCUUGGUUCCGGCAUCGAUGAAGAACGCAGC
rnacentral:misc_RNA from 1 species